rfam:Crassostrea gigas strain 05x7-T-G4-1.051#20 contig24489, whole genome shotgun sequence.
CCAACGGCCCUUUUCAGGGCCAACCACAUCUAAAGAAAAUAUACCU